UAUGUACUAUAUGGCUUCUUGUCAGCCCUAAUCUUGUCAGAUCUCAGAAGCUAAGCAGGGCUGGGCCUCAUAAGUGUUUGGAUGGGAGACGGUUGGGAAUACAGGUGUCACAC
rnacentral:rRNA from 1 species